rnacentral:lncRNA from 1 species
AUCCGAAGUGGUAAAACCACUUCGAACUUGAAAGUGGUGAAACCACUUCGGACUAUAGAAAGUGGAGAGCAAGUGUUAUAGAGAGAAUCUACUAUUCAACUAACCUUCUUGUCAGAUUAUGACCAAACACUCUCCUUGGAUAUCUCACUGACAACUCAAAAGAAAGAUAAAAGACUCUCUCGGACAUAGAAAAAAAGAUCAAGAAAUUAAAUUUAAAUGACUGUAUAUUGUUGACUUUUUUUCGACUCCUUGAUCGAAAGUAUACCAACCCCA